rnacentral:lncRNA from 1 species
AAAAAUUUGAAUUUACAUAUAUGUAAUACAUAUUGAACACCCUUGCAAUAAAGAAGAGGCGUAGCCCAGUGGCAGAGGGUGGUCAAGAAAUCCUCACGGUCGCAGGUUCGAUCUCCACCCAACACAAUUUGUGUUGCGUUUUAAUUUUUUUAAGACUAAACGACGUCAUUAGAUUAAACUAAUCAAAAUUCCUAAAUCACUAAAUGGUCAAAAUCGAUCCCUCUGCUCUCAAUUGCUCAUUCCUCACGCAGACAAAGAAAAAACCUAGAAAUUUUGGUCUCUAUCUUCUCCAAUCUCUAUGCCUCUCUGCAUAAAUCACUGAAGUUUGGGGUUUGGAACUUGGAAGUUCUGGUUGCUCUCUCUCUCGGCGCUAUUCAGUAUUCACAACAGC